UAGGAACUAAAGGAGAAGUUCAUUCCCCUUUAGCUUAGCUCUCAUCGGCGUAUACGUUGGCGUUGUCUCUUUGGUCGGAGCCGCUUGCGUAUACGCUUUUUCUUUUU
rnacentral:antisense_RNA from 1 species